ACGGCUGAGUAACACGUGGGUGACCGACCCCGCCGUGGGGAAUAACUGCCCGAAAGGGUGGCUAAGACCGCAUACGUCCCGGACUGCAGAGUCUGGGGGAAAGCUUCGCAAGGAGCGCGGCGGGACGGGCCCGCGUCCGAUUAGCUGGUUGGUGGGGUAAAGGCCUACCAAGGCGACGAUCGGUAGCUGGUCUCAGAGGAUGAUCAGCCAGACUGGGACUGAGACACGGCCCAG
rnacentral:rRNA from 1 species